rnacentral:lncRNA from 1 species
GGAAGACAUAACCGUGCCCGAUACUAAACCGGGAUCUCUAUAAUGCGCUGGGGAAUGUUGCCUCACUAAAACCUUACCAGGAAAACCCAGUGGGACAAAACCAUGGUGAAGGAAAAAGAGUACAACACGCAUUACUCCCCCUGAUUUGAGCAUCACUGUCGAUCCUUAAGUCCGCGCAUCCCGAUCUGAUGAAUGAGCUUCCGAAACGUUGAAGUCGGCAAUGAUUUGGUGAAUAGGUCGGCUGAAUUCUCACAUGACCGGAUCUGUUGAACUUUGACCUGACCGUCCUUCUGUAAUUCAUGAGUGAAGAAGAACUUGGGCAGAAUAUGCUUCGUUCGAUCCCUCUUAGUGUAGCCAUCCUUGAGUUGAGCAAUACAGGAUGCGUUGUCUUCAAAUAUGAUGGUCUUUGAUGUAGUAGUAGAUGCGCCUUAAGGAAGGCUGCCUACGUACCCGUGGAAGGGAUCAAGCCACACGUAGUUCCUAUUCAUUGACCAUGCCAUAAUCUGAUCUUAUGAAUA